rnacentral:lncRNA from 1 species
CACCAUAGAGGUGGGCCUUUGGCGACGUCAGAGGCGCGGGUGUUCGGCUGCGUCACUGGGGCGCUAUGGUGCCUGGAGCUGGGCAGUUUUCUCGUCAGAGUGGGGACUGGUAAGAGCGACCUCCCCGCCAGGUCCUGUGUGUUGCCGGCUGAAGAAGGAUGAUGAUUAUUCCCCACCUUCUAAGAGACAAAGACCAACGAGCCACCACAGCCACCAGUCCCAGAACCCGCCAAUGCUGGGGAACGGAAAAUGAGGGAGUUCAACUCUGAGAAAUGGAAUCAUCGUAUCGCUGAUCUACGUAAACAAACUGAAGAAUUGUCUGAAAGAAAAUAUGACAUGAACUUAUGAAUUCAACAGGUGAAGAUUUACAACUUGAUAAAUCAACUUUGUGAGCUCGAGCUGUAAAAGCCAAAGGUCUGGUGAUGAUCCCAUACCCUUUUUUCCAGUCUCAUGUUGAAGAUUUUUAUGUAGAAGGCCUUCCCAAAGGAAUUUUUUUUUUUUUUUUUUUUUGAGAUGGAGUUUUCACUCUUAUCGCCCAGGCUGGGGUGCAAUGGC